UUCCGGCGGCCGGGGCAGUGGCCGGGGGAACCCGCGCUGGCCGCGCGCAGGAGCGGUGCCGACGCUGCGGCUGCCGCCGGAGCCUCGGUAACGGUGCUCCCCGCGUCUCCUGCGCCGCGGGGGAAGGCAGGCCACGGCAGGGGCGCGGGGUUAGCACGGCCAGGGGGCUGUAGCCCGUGCGCCCCGCAGUGCUCGGGCGUCCCCCCGGGAAGGUUGGCGGCGCGGGGUGCCCUGCUGGGCCUGCACCAACCGCCGCUCCCGGCAGGCCCGGAACUGCCGCGGUGGGGAGCCCCGCUCUGCCGGCUGCGGCUGCGGCACCGGGAGGCCCGCGGAGGGGGCGGGCGGGGCCGAGCGGGGCCGAGGCUCCCGGUGAGCGGGAAGGGUCGGCUCAGUUGGCCCCGCGGCGGCCUGCAGCCCGUUCUUUUGGCCAAGCCGUGCUGCUUGCGCUGCGCUGACGGUGUAUCGGUGGCCCACCGGGAAAGCUAGCAAACGACAGGCUACAGGGAGCAGCAUUGCAGGACACCCUUUUUCUGUAAAGACGAAGAAAUUGCUGUGCUCAGGUCCUCACCUUUCAGCAGUGAUUCUGUGAUGCAAGUUCCAGGAAAUUCAUUUUCUGUGAUCAUCUUCUCUGUGACCUCUUCUUGCUGACAUUUUCCCCAGUGUUGGACACAAAGAGGAAGGAUGCUAAAGAAUGAGAGCCCCCCUUUUGGCUUUUAGAACAUGGGCAGUUGUGUAAAGAUGCAGCUGUGAUCCUUGACUGUGUGUUUCAUCGAAGGGACCUGAUGUUUUACAUUAUUGGUGGAAUCACAGUAUCUGUGGUAGCUUUCUUCUUCACCAUUAAGUUCCUUGUUGAGCUUGCCGCACGUAUAGUCAGCUUCCUGCAGCAUGAGGACCGGGAGCGCCGAGGGGAGCGGACUAUUUAUGACUACGUGCGAGGCAACUACCUGGAUCCCCGGUCCUGCAAGAUCUCCUGGGAUUGGAAGGACCCCUAUGAGGUGGGCCAUAGCAUGGCCUUCCGAGUGCAUUUAUUCUAUAAAAAUGGGCAACCCUUCCCUGCUCACCGGCCUGUGGGGCUGCGAGUUCACAUCUGCCAUGUGGAGCUAUCAAUUGAUAUUCCUGUAACCCAGGAAGUUCUUCAGGAGCCUAAUUCCAAUGUGGUGAAAGUGGCCUUCACUGUGCGCAGGGCUGGGAGAUACGAGAUCACUGUAAAACUUGGUGGCUUGAAUGUGGCCUACAGCCCCUACUACAAAGUGUUCCAGCCAGGGAUGGUGGUUCCCUCCAAAACAAAAAUUGUCUGCCAUUUCUCCACUCUGGUGCUGACCUGUGGGCAGCAGCACACUCUGCAGAUAGCUCCCAGAGACGAAUAUGACAAUCCCACCAGCAAUUCUGUGUCCCUGAUAGAUGAGCACAAUUACAACCUCUCCAUCUAUGAGCUGGGUCCUCAAGAGGAAGAGAGCUCUGGCGUUGUGUUUGAGAAAUCUGUGGUAUCCAAUCGGCAGACUUGUGAAGUGUUCUUCCGACUCACCUUGCACUGUAGGGGCUGUUUCCACGCCUGCAUCUCCUACCAGAACCAGCCCAUAAGCAAUGGUGACUUUGACAUCAUUGUUCUAAGUGAGAAUGAAAAGAACAUUGUAGAACGCAAUGUGUCCACCUCAGGUGUCAGUAUUUACUUUGAAGCCUACCUUUAUGAUGCUCCCAGUUACACCAACAGUCAGUGGCAACUUCCACCAGCACAACUGAGCUCCUCCCAGCGCCGUCCUUCUACUGCAACUGAGGAUGAAGAUGAAGAUUCUCCCUCUGACAGUCAAACCCCUGAGAAAGUGAAGAAACCUAAAAAAGUAUACUGCUAUGUGUCACCUAAGCAAUUCUCAGUGAAAGAAUUUUACCUGAAGAUCAUUCCGUGGCGACUUUUCACUUUUAGAGUAUGUCCUGGCACAAAGUUUUCAUACCUUGGUCCUGACCCUGUGCACAAAUUACUGACACUGGUGGUGGAUGAUGGGAUCCAACCUCCUGUGGAGCUCAGCUGCAAGGAGAGGAACAUCCUGGCAGCCACUUUCAUUCGCUCUCUACAUAAAAACAUAGGAGGCUCAGAGACUUUCCAGGACAAAGUGAACUUUUUCCAGCGAGAGCUGCGUCAAGUCCAUAUGAAAAGAUCUCAUUCGAAGGUCACGCUGAAGGUCAGCCGGCACUGUCUGCUGGAGUCGUCUUUUAAAGCAACACGAAAUUUUUCUGUUUCUGACUGGAGCAAAAACUUUGAAGUGAUUUUUCAGGAUGAGGAAGCUCUGGACUGGGGAGGUCCACGCAGAGAGUGGUUUGAGCUCAUCUGUAAGGCAUUAUUCGAUACCACCAAUCAGCUCUUCACUCGUUUCAGUGAUAACAACCAGGCCUUGGUGCAUCCAAAUCCAGGGCGUCCAACGUAUUUGCGCCUCAAAGUGUAUGAGUUUGCUGGCCGCCUGGUAGGGAAGUGUCUGUACGAGUCAUCUCUGGGAGGUGCUUACAAACAGCUGGUCCGAGCUCGCUUCACCCGAUCCUUCCUGGCUCAGAUCAUAGGACUUCGUAUGCAUUACAAGUAUUUUGAAACGGAUGACCCAGAAUUCUAUAAAUCCAAAGUUUGUUUCAUACUUAACAAUGAUGUGAGUGAGAUGGAUCUGGUCUUUGCUGAAGAGAAGUAUAGCAAAACAGGACAGCUGGAGAAGGUGGUAGAACUGGUGGCAGGAGGGGCUCAAUUACCAGUGACCAAUGAAAACAAAAUCUUGUAUUUGAAUCUGCUUGCGCAGUACAGACUGGCCAGUCAGGUUAGAGAGGAGGUGGAUCACUUCCUGAAAGGUCUUAAUGAGUUAGUUCCUGAGAACCUCCUGGCUAUUUUUGAUGAGAAUGAGCUUGAGUUGCUUAUGUGUGGUACUGGAGAUAUCAGUGUCUGUGACUUCAAGGCACAUGCUGUAGUGGUAGGAGGGUCUUGGCACUUCCGUGAGAAGGUCAUGAGGUGGUUUUGGACCGUGGUGUCCAGUUUCACACAGGAAGAGCUGGCCAGGCUCUUGCAGUUCACAACUGGUUCCUCCCAGCUGCCCCCCGGAGGGUUUGCUGCCCUCUGUCCAUCUUUCCAGAUCAUUGCAGCUCCAACUCACAAUACUUUGCCAACAGCCCACACUUGUUUUAACCAGCUGUGCCUCCCUACUUAUGACUCCUAUGAAGAAGUGCACAAGAUGCUGCAGCUAGCUAUCAAUGAGGGCUGUGAGGGCUUUGGCAUGCUGUGAUUUCCCUUUUCCAGGAGACCACAUAACCUCCUGGCUUUUUGUGGCAAGACCUGGGUUCAGUCCUCUGCUUGUUCUUCCCCUCACACGGGCAAUGGAAGCAGAGCAAAAACUCCAUGUAAAGAAAUUUAUAAUAUAGAAGAUGUCAUGUGGCCUUUCCGUAUCCCAAAUAUGUCAUCAAGAGCUCAUCUUUUCUUAUUCCCUCAUUUUCCCUUUGGUUUAGUGUGAAACAGCAAAGGGACUGUGAUGUAUUCAUCAAGGAGGUAUUGCACUUGAGAACCGUGCACCCUGUAUACCCAUCCUUCUGUGAGAAGAUGUUCAUAAGCAGAAGUUAGUGAGGUGCAGGAGAUCUGCUGAGCUGCCUCUGUCAUAGCUCUCUGGGAAGAAGAAGGAAGACCAGCAUGGAGUUCUGCUGGAAACCUGUCUCACAGGAAGCCUUAGUAACUUUCUAUGUCUUGGCUCAGCUCCCCCAGUGAUGCUCCCUGAUGGCUCCCCUCACUGACUCAUGGGGAGUAUAGGAUUGUCCAUCUGACUCAGAAGGGUUUCUGGUUCUCCUUCUCCAUCUUGCACUGGAUGCUGCUGUCACCUGUGCCACAGAUUAAAACGGGCAGUAUCCACUGGAGGGAGUAACCCAAAGGAGAGAACAAUCUCAUUGGAGCACAAGUGCUGACCCUGACAGUGAUCCUGUACUACCUCCGCCAGGGUCCAGCAGCAGAAGCGUCCUUCUCCGGCCGUGGCUGGUAAUGAGCCUCUGUAAAUGAACUGAAAGAGGAGUUUCUCCUCCAUUGAAUGUUUCUGACAGUUGAUGUUGCACAGGAAGAUGUCCCAUGCCCUUGCCUCCUUUUCUGUUCCUCAAGAGAGAGAGUAUGGGCAUGAGUGUGAUCCCUCAGUGCUGAGCACCAAUGCCUGUCCCACAUUCACCUUCAGGGAUGCAUGCUAUGAUCUGGGUGCCUACAUUGUCCCUUCUGAUGACUGGUUUCUUCUUCUUGGAGAAGGAGUGGUGACCGUGACCUGUGGCUUACUCCGCAGUCUCUGUUUAUCCUGGCAUGGACUUGGGGCUGGGACAGAAGUCAUGCCCAUGCACUUUGUGCUGGAAUCCUUCAUGCCCCAGCUUCUGUCUCCAGCAAUAGCAAGGAAUUGCCUGAUGUCUCAGGAUCCUUGAUUCCAUACACAGCCCCUUGACUUAAGCUCUAUCACAACAUGCUGCUCGGGAGGCUGGACGUUUGUGCGUUCCAUUCCUCUGCUCAGCUUUCUGUUUUUCUCACUUGUAGAACUCCAGAGAAGGAUUUUCAGCAGAUACCUGAAUGAGAAAAUGGAGAAAAGAAUCUCGAUUUGGAUAUGACCUCUUGCUUUCUUAGUGUUAUGGCUCAGUUGGUCAGUUGAACCAGGCUGUGACUCCUGGUUCCCAUAGUGAGUUACUAUAUUUUCUAUGGUUUUGGCUGUUCUGCUACCAUCUUGUGUCUGACUGACCUGGCACAUGACAGCAGAAAGAGUUUGAGCGUAUGAUUACAGGAACUGUAAAAGGAAAGCACUUACGGGAAACGGCAAAGUCCGCCUCGGCCUGUCUUGGCAUCAGCUGUAUGGUGCAGAAUCUGACAUUGUAGAAUCUUCCUCUUAAACUCUUUCCUUGUUUGUUAGGGUUUUAUUACUGAACGCAUGAGAAACCCUAAUUUCUGCUCUCCAGAGCAUGAAACUUGAUUGUAGGAGGGAGAUGUUACUGUAUGAAUGUGUUCAUUUUUAGACAUAAUUUGCUAUAACUUUUCUUGCAGUAAAACAAAACAGCUGUAGCUGAAGUUCACCCAAAGUUCCUGAUCAGGCUUUUCCAGCUACCCUUCUGCAGGGCUGGCGUGCUGCAAAGUUAUGUUGAGGCGUGGGCAAACACACGUGAGGUUGGAAAGUGAGGCCGAGAGCCAGGCCUCUCAGCAUUAGUAUAAAGCUGCAGUGAAUACAGAUGGAGGAAGUGAAGCUCUUGCACCAUAUGAGGGCUGGAGGAACUGAAAUUGGCCUGAGGCUGCUCCAGAGCUUUCUCUGCGGCACAGGAAGGCCAGAGGGAGUUGGUUGAUUUUUGAUGGAGUGACUCUGCGGAUGCCAAAACCAAAUUCUUCUCUGUCACUUGAGGCAAUUUUCUGAUAAGCUGGAAGAAGUGUUGGCCUGUACCCACCCCUUAAUUUAGGGAUUUAUGCUGACAUAAUUCUGAAGGCCUGAAAACUCCUGCAGUUUUCUGACUAAUCUUAGAAAUCUCUUUAACUAGGAGGAAUAGAUGCUUUGGGCUCUCUUGUGCUUCAGUAGCUGAAGUGUGAGGUUGCCUCGAGCUGAGAUGGUGCUACUUAUGGCAGUGGAUGAAGAAACACAAGGAAAUAGAAUUCUCUGCAGUCCUCUUGAAGGAUGCUGAAACCAGCUCUGGGGGUUUGAUUUGUCUGGAGAGGUGCUUUGCUGUGUAGAGGCUAGCUCAGAUUUACAGAGGCCUUUAUUGCUGGUGUGGAACAGACUCAGCCUCCUACUUAAGAAAAACAGCGGGCUGUCCUGGAAAUUCAUAUCUUCUGUUUUAGAAGACUUUUAUGGCCUGGUGCUCUGGUGUGUCACGCUUUGUGCCAUGAAGACGUGCUGCUCUGAAGCCGUGCUGCCCAGCAGCCCUGCAGGCAGAGCCGUGCUUCCCUGGGCUGAGGGAUGUUGCGGUGCAGCGACAGGAGCAGCGUGGUAGCUUGUUGUUCUGAAGAAGGUGACAGUGGCUGGUUGGCCACCAGAGGGGGACCGAUAGUCAACUUGAGCUGGCCAGGUUGAAGAGUGGCCAACUUCAGCUCUCUGAAACCCUGCAGUUUGGGCUAGUCUUGCCUGGUUUUUGUUUUAUUUCUGUCGUUCAGCAGACCUCUCAGUCUAACAAACAAGUUGGCUGGCAGAUUCCCUUGCUGGGUUUCUAAUUCCCAAACUGGAGUGUAUGAGAAGUGAGCAUCUAGGAAGCAGUGCCCUGUUGGACAUAAGUCCCCAUGGUUGCUCUGCUCCCCCUUGCCCAUUUGUUUUCCUACAGGCAGCAUAUUUAAAAUGUGUGAUAGAAAGUUGGAUUUACACAUGUAUGAUAAACCUGCAGUACAGUCUCUCAGGAGGCUCAGGACAAAUAGCUUAGUAAGAAUAAUGGGCUUAAUAUGAACAAACAACAGCAGUAACAAUAACCAGAUUAGAUGUGUUCCCUCAGGCUCUGAGAACAAUUACUCAUUGGUUUGCAACGGGAGAGGGAGUUCUAAUGCAUGAAAGCAGAACUGAGCUGAUGCACAGAGGGAGCUGAUGUUCUCUUUUUAGAGCUCAUUAUAAAAAAAUGGACUCUCUUAACUAACUGCAGGCAGCACUAACCUUUCCAGACAGCGUGGAGAAGUGGAAGUUGACAUGGGCAUAUGGGUGCGUUGCUCCAGGUGACUGGAGCAGUGCAGAAGCUCCAAGAACAGGAGGGGAAAGGAACCCCAUUACCGCCUUCAGGGGCCAGCUGUCCUGAAGUGCUUCCUGGACAGGCAGUACCUGCCUUGGACACUCUGCAUCAGGGUGUUUUUGAGUAGAAGUGGCUUGGCCCAGCUAACCUCGCACUUUGCAGUCAGCAGUGGAAGUGGCUUUGGAAGGUGCUUUGGGAAUGUUUUUCUAGGAGCUGGCUCUGCUGUGCCUCAGCUUCUCUGGGUUCCUCCUGGCAAGCAGGGCUGAGCUGCAACUUAAGUGCAAAGUGGCAGGGUUUCAGAGGAGCCACAUACCAAACACAUUAGUGAGGUGUAAUGCACUUCAUGCCCCUGAGCCUGCUUAGGCCUGAGGCUCUCACUGUGAAGGAUCUGCUCCCUGGCAGCGUAGGGAGCAGGGGCAAAGGCACCAGGGUAACCAGCCAACAGCACAAGAGAGGAAGGUGGUAGAGGCAUGGGACAGGUGGUGUUGGACUUGAGAGACAUCUUUAGUUUCUAGUGCAGAAAUGCUCCCACAUCUGAAGGCAUCUCUCUGGCUGCAUUCCUCAGGCAUGCAGUGCAGUGCAGGAGGUUUGGAACUGGAGAAAGGGGUAGCCUAUGAAGACAAAUGGAGGACCAGAGUCUGAUACGAGGUUGUGGUGUUGAGGCAGACAUUUAUAAAAGGCUGAAGGGGGCUGAGGAAACGCACAGCUCCUCCUGAGCCCUUUGUCUUGUCAAACAAGGUCAAAGUGACAGCAAGCAGGGAUUGAAAGGCAACGAGCACGUGGCUAAUCAAAGCUAUCUGCUCCACAGAUGGAGUGAGGAAAUCAAGAGCUUUCCUCCCUGUCCUCCUAAGGGCGGAUAAAAGUGUGACAUGGAUGCGGAUAAUGAAAACGUCCAUACUUAAAUAAGAUUUAAAGCAAACAAACCUUCCUGCUUCAGGGCCAAAGCCUGCUUCUGACAGACAGGAGUUAGAAAGGAGUUUUCUUCCUGCUUCUCUUGAAGCUAGCCCCUAUCCUGUGCAGGAUGCUGGCCUGGAGGAGUGUUUGGCAGCUGGCGGCCCUAGGCAGGAAGAGGAACACAGAAUCUGCUUUAAUCCUCUCAUAGAUGUCAUGCUAAUUAAGGUUUAGCCAAUUUAAUACUUGAACAAUAAACAGGCAGAUCCUUCACAGAACUGGGUGUUAACGGCUUUCCAAAAACUCUCUCCCAUCUAGGGGAGGGCCACCCUCAGCAUCCUGCUGUGCCUGUAAGAGGAGGCUGUGCCACAUAGAAGCGGCUCUGCCUCAUGCCCUGUGGUCACAGAGCAGCACCAUGUUGAUACACCAGUGGGUGUAUCAAUGUAGAGCCCUGCCAAAUACAGUGAGAAGUCUAUGACAUGUUUCCAGAGGACUUAGAUAUCUGCUGUUAGCCAAAAUUUUGGUAGUGUUCUGUUUCCUGGAUAGUUAAGUUCCUUUCUAGUCCUCUCUGAGCUGUUGGGUGGAUGUGAGGUGAUGACAAAGCCUGGCCCUGGAAGGGGAGCUGCCCGGUGGUGCUGUGGAAGGGAGCCCCACAGCUGUGUUCCUACAUGGUCUAGAGCUGGCAGACUCACGGCAGGGAGAGUAUGUGCUGCUCUGUGAGACUGACAUCUGCUCUGUACUCUUCUUGAACUAUGAAUCCUGCCUGUCGAUACAAGAACACCUUUUUUCCUCCACGGCCUCAGCCUAGCACAGGUUUGAUGAGGAGGGUUUUUCCUGAAGCCCAUCUCUGGUGAGCCCUGUGGAGGGGUGGAUGCAACUGUGGUUUCUCCACUGUCUCCUCACCUUCAUCCGUCUUCCUGCAUCUCAUCUGCUGCCCUGUUCUUUUCCACUAUUGCUCUUUCUCUGCUCUGCUUGUCAAUGUGGCAGUGGAGAAGACAAAGUGCUGUGAUACAGUCUGCCUUGGCUUUGUCCCUUCUCCAGAAACCUGCACAGGGAGAGCUCCCUCCCCAUUUUUUCUCUGGCUGCCUUUUGUCUUUCUAAUCAGUCAUGGUAAUUUAGCCUGGCACUGUUUGGCAGGGGCUGCACCUUGGCAUCAUGAACAGCCAGGGUCAGCUGUCAGCCUCUGAGCCAUGAGCCUAAUGCAACAGAACAGAUGUAGGUAUUUUUUCCAAGUUUUCCAUGGGCAGCAGGAUUAAAGUCUCUGUUCUCAGCUGGGGUCCCCGGUGUAGUCACUUCCCUCUGUGUUACACAACACCCUAUUAAGAAGAACAGCACAAACAUGUUCAUUGAGAUCCCUUCCCCCAACCCUAGAAAGCCAAGGAACAAAGGCAAGGAGGUUUCCAAAGGCUGAGGAGCUGCCUGUUUGGUCCAGGAACCCUGGGAUAAUCCUGCCUAGCUAUCCCCCUGUGAAAGGGCCCCACUGCUCUCUUGCUGUUCUCCAUUGUUGUGGUGCCAGGGGUGACAGGGAAAACAGGGUCUGGUGUGUAAAAGAGUAGUGGGAUCACAUUCUUGCAUCCCGCUGGCUGUGUGCAGACCUGAGUGAGUACCAAUGUGGGGAGAAACUACUGUGGCAGGACCCACUGCCAGGCCCUGUGUGUGUGCCUGCCCCGGAGCUGGAGGCUUCCAACUGCCUGUACAGGUGUGGGGAAACAUGCGAGGCAGAGGAGUGGGGGGUGGCUAGCAGGGGAGGUGAGGUUAGGCUGCCUGCCCGAUUCUGGACAAAUGGACUUGCUUCACAUCAAAGGUGUCAUGCCCCGAGGAAACUGCUGUCUUUUGAUGGCUGCAGAGGUACAGAAGGAGCUUGCUGGAAGCAAGGAAGCAGCGUGCUCUCUGUAGAGGCUCCUGGAGCCACUAGCCACAGAGAGGGGCUGCAGGCACCUGUGGCGAGGGGGAGAGGGCUUCCCCAGCAGCAGGCUGACUCAGGGCUCCAAGGAGCUGCUGCCGAUGUGCACCAAUUACUUGCUUUAGUGACAAAAGACCAUAAAUGAACAAGGGAGUUAAUUAGGUCUGCAGCAGGCCAGGUCUGGAGGCUUGCAGGGCUGAGAAGUCUGGAAUAAGUUCAAAGGCACAGGGGGAGGAGAAGGCCCUGGAGCUGUGUGUACCAAACAAAGGUGCUGCUGGUUUUCCCCCUUGGGAAGCACCAUGAAAAAAACAUCUCUGACCAGAAGGACAGUCCUCAAGAAGGGGAGAGACCAGCGCCUGGCAACAUCUGUUUGUUCAGGCCUCUGAUGAAAGACUUUAAACAGCCUGUUCAUUCACUCCUCUGUCCAGCUGCUGCCCCUUUCAUGGAAGCAAGCCCUGAGGGCACUAGUGCAGUUGUGAGCAGCUUCUUUGGCCCUGGGGCUCUCGCGCUGGAUGAUGCAGUGAGCUGGUGGGGUUGAGGGGCACGUUGCAGCUGUCUGGCUCAUUUCUAGUAAAAUGCUCACAGCAGGUCCUUUCCAUCUGCUUUGGCCCAGGAGUGACCCUUGCAAACCUCCUCUCCCUUGCAGUUGCCUCAGCAGAUGGCGGGAAGGCAGAUGGAGAGGGAAAUCUCCAAAGCUGUAGUGACAGAAAGGUCUGACCCCACAGUACCUCUCACCCCAACACCUGCAGGUAAUAAGGUCUUGCAGUGCAACCUAACCCGUGAGCCUUGGCCUCCAUGUUCCUUUUCCCACCUCUCAGAACACCUCCUGCUCCCUCCUCUGCAGCUCAGUGGAGGCUCUGGAUGGCAUCCAGUUGGAUGAAAGCCUGCCCUAGCUCUGCAAGCAGAGUAAGAAGGGGCACCCAUGUUAUGAGGGGAGCUCAUGGCACAGCAAGAGCUGAGGAACGCUGUGCUCUAGAUGACACAUUGUUGGGGUCUUUGGGUCUGUGAGGUUCAGGGGGGGAGGGAUGGAUGGGCGGUAUUUGGUUGCAACAAAUCACUGCAAACCACUUUGGGCAGCUGCUUUCUUGAUUCCAUUGCUCUUGCAUCGCACCCGGGAUGCAUAAAGUCUGCUUUGGGAGGAGGGCAGGGUUUUUUCCUUACCUGUAAUUUUACCAGGCUGCAGGAGUUGAAAGAGGUGAAAUGGCAUGUUUGGCCCAUGCUGGAGGAAGUUUCAGCUCAGCAAGGGUGUUUGGGACAGCUGAGUUGCAUGUUGCCUGCCAGGCUGCACCAGCUGCUCUCAAAUCAGGACUCAAACCAGACUUGGUCCCUGUUCCAGACUUUUCCUACACCUCAUUUGUUAGCGGCUUCGGAUGCAAAUUCUGUGGCUGGUAUGUGGAGGCCUGGCUGGCUUGUGGGGCUCCUGUCCAGCUGCCCUUGUUUUGUCCUCCUCCCUGACGGGUCUGGCUGGAUGUGAACGCUGCCAAUGCCUGGAGGGAAGGUGCAGGGUAUCCAGGCUAUAGCACUGCCCCCCUUCCUCUCCCGGUGACUGAAGCGGCUGGCUUGGGCCGGGGGCAGGCACUUCCCCGAGCACAGGCCAGACAGAUGCAUCCAGGUCCAAUGCAGAGGUGCAGGGUUUGCCUGGCAGAGGCACUGCUGCACACGGCCUUGCAUAAGGUACAGUGCAGACAGCUAAACAGAGAUGAUCCUUCCUCCUGCAAAAUGGCUUGGUCUGGUCAGGCAGUGUGGACUAGGAGCAAGAAAUAGCCUGAAAAGAAAUAACAGGGUGGUGGAGAGAAGCUUGGAAAGGUCAUCAGGCCUGCAAAGGCAAAGAUGUCUGGGGGCCAUGUAGAGGGGCUCCACUGUAAUGUUUGGUACCAUGCCCAGUCUGAAGCUCUAGCACCAUUUAGUGGGCUGGACCAGCGUUGGCCUCUGUCUUGCUUGGCUCGAUGGAAGCAGUUGUCAUCGUGUCCUGAGUACAGUAUCAUUGUCACUUUAAUUUCUCCAAUGAGGUGCUGCAAACAGAUGUAUAUGUGUUGUAGCUGUACUUUGGAUUUGGAUUUGCCUCUGGGGACAAGCAGCGAUAAGUGUUAAGAGUUGUUUAGAUCCCAAACUUGUGUUUCUGAACUGGUUCCUAGGAAGAGGAGAAGACAUAAGCCUGGGGAAGAGGCUAUAAUUUCCCUGCCAGGAUCAUUUUGCUGGGCUGGGGAAGGACCCUGAGCUGUUGGUGCCUUAUGAGCAGCUGAGGUUAAUGACCAGGCUAAGGGUAUUGGUUGCAUUACCUAAAGACUGCUAAUUGGGUUUGCCCUUGUUCAGUGCCUGCCUCUGGGAGUUGUUCUGGCAGCUGCAGGGGCAGGUCUCUGUGGAGGCCGAUCCCUGUGGAAAGAGGCUGCUGUGAUUACUGACCAGCAAUGAAUAAGAGGCAAAGGGAUAGGAGGAGAAAGCUGUCAAGGCUUUAACUCCGGUUGGUGCAGGGGUUCAGCUGGUUUGGAUAUGCCAGUGGGAGGGGAAGGGUCCUUGGCCAGCCAGGGUGUUAACAGGCCAGAGAUCAGCAUGGGUGAUCAGGAAGGCCAUGGCUAUGUUACAUAAAUUGGACCUAAAGUGCCAGAAAAAGCCUUCAGGGAGAUGAUAUAUCUAAGUGUCAUCAGCACUGCGGAGAUAAUGAGAACCAGAAAAGCACUGGGAGGUAAAAAUGCACAGAUCCAUGAAAAUACACUUGUGGGUGCAGGAUCCUGGUGGAUCCAUGCUGGCUGCUGGGCUGGAGGGAGGGCUGGCCCUGCUGUGGGGAGUCUGGUGUUUCAAGCGUGGAGCAUAAGCGGGGAGCCUGUAGGGUUAAUGUUCAAUAUUAGAGGCAAUCGACUCAAAAAGGAGAAAGUCUUCAUGCCAAAGGAUGUCUCCCCCUCUCCUGUCUCCUUCCCCUGCUUCCUCAGUUCCCUUGAACAGAAAGAAGCAGAGGGAAACAGCAAGGGCUGGAUCUGCUGUUGCUGUGUUAGUGUGGUCCGUGUGAGUGAGGGGUGCUCCAGGCUUAGCCUCUUCAGCAUGGCCCUGUAACUUAGGGGUGAGGGACCCCCUUGCGGACUGGAGCCAGGAGGUGCAACCAAGAGCAGUGUGUGUGUCAUGGCCCUAAGAGAAGCAUCCCCAGCUCCUCCAGUAGUGACCAAACCCGUUGCAGCAAGGUGGCUGAUGGCCACUUGUGUUAGAGGUCGGAUAGUGUGAAUGAUGCUGAACCACACUGCCAGGGAGGCUGGAGAGCCUCCAUCCUUAGAGGGGUUUAAAAACCAAAUCAAACGUGGCCCUGCACAUCCUGGCCUGAGCAGGGGCUGAAGAGGACCAUCUGCAGAGCUCAUGUCCCACUUCAACUAGUCUGUGAUCAUAUGGGAGGGCACCAGAGGAUGCUUCCUGCUGCCAGGACCACAUGCUUGCUUGGCCGUGGCUGGGAGGCUCAUAGCUAGCUGAGCCAAGGACAGUGGGAGCUUGUUUCCUCCUCACCUCCAUUGCAAAACCAGUGAUGGGGUCCUUCACCGCUCCCUUGCCCAUAUUGCUCCUUGCAGGGCUGUGGCUGAGCCCUGGGCACAGCAGAGCACUGUUGGAAGCCAUCUGACCUGCUGCCUCUAGGCCUUGCUUCCACUGCUGCAUAAAGGAGUCAAGGCUGUGAAGCAACCUGGAAGUCAGGCACCAACAGCCAUUUGGCUGACUCUGGUAUUAGGCCUGAACCAGUAGGGGCACGGGCAGGAUUCUUUCAUGAAAUAGCAGUGAAGUAUCUUGUAGGGGGUUGUUUUUCUAGCUGCCUCCUUGCUGGUGCCCUAAAUGUUUGUGAUGAAGGGUAGAUGCUUGGUGUCUCCUCUCGUAUGUGUGCCCCGGCACACUCCUUCCUCUGCCCACAAAGGCUCUGUUCCCAGUCUUUGGAGAAAGCUCUGUGCCGGCUGUCAGAUCUCAGCCUGGAUUAAGUGGCAAAGGCAAAUCUUCGGCUUUGAGAAGAGCACACUUGACCUUUUCCUCUGUGGAGUUACACUCUCCCUUGAGAGGAAGUGUUGGCUCAGCUGCUGAACAAAGCACUGGCUGUCAUAAGCAAGACCUGCCUGCCCUUCGGGAGGGAGGGCUUGGGAUGGGGGUCAGAUUUAUGCUCCAGGGGGGAGGAAGAGAGAGCAGACCCAGUGACCUGGAAGCUUAGAGAUGAUCGACUCAAUUUACUGAGAGAUGCAAAGCUACGUUGGCUCUGUUGGUAGAAAUACACCGUCUGGCAUAGCCUGGGCAGAGGCACCCACUGGUGCAUCCAGAUACAAGGGGAAAUUUGUCUGCUAAGAUGCAAAUGAUGUUUCGUAUCCCCUUUUCUUAUUUUCCAACCUAUCUUUCUCUGUCGUAUCUUACAGUGUCUCUGAGCCUAAAUUGCUGUUAGCAUCUUUGCAUCCCCUCCAGGUCCCGUGGAAGAAAUAUCCAGUAGUGAACUUGGCCCUAGCAUGGAAUUCAGACAUUGUAUGUGCUCAGGGGUGGGUGUAGCUAACCAUGCUUGUUUUCCCUAAGCAGUGGCAUGUGUACAGCCCUCACAUGAAUUCAGAUGUUUUCUCCUACACUAUACCCUUUGUUCUAUGUAACGUGUCUCACUCUAGUGCCAGGGAGCCAAGGAAUACAGUCAAGCACAGAGUGGGUGUGUGGGGUGGUCUCUUUUCUACUUUGUACCUGAGGGCUGAAGCUAGAUGGUUCAUCUGAGAUCACAGAAAAAGUUUGUGUCAGAGCUAGGACUGAACUUGCAUCCCAGCAUCGGCACCAUGGGGCAGUGACCCAGCCCUGUUGUCAUGGGCUCUGUUCAGAUGCUGUCAGAUCUCUCUUUGCUGGUGCUUUUCCAUGCAUCCACCUAAGUCAGGUUGCUCGUAUUUCCAGGAUUUGUUGGGUGCUCUGCAGCCCCAGCACCAAAUACAUAAGGAUGAAGAACCUGGCUGAGUGCAAAGAGCUCUAGAAAUGCAUUUAUAUCUCAUCACUGGAGGUACAGUGUUUGAAGGUUUGGUGUUACCCUUGGCCCUCACACCCUUGUCUCUCCCCAGCCUCCUCCAGCAAAGUGCUCUGCGUUUGAAUCCACUUUGAAUUAGUGCCUCUAAAGAGGUAGUUCAAUAUUACUGAGAGCAGUGUAAGGAAAGACAUUUACUCAGGUGGAGCCAAGGAAAACAAUCAAGGGUAUGCCCAAGCCUCCAAAGGGCUGUAAAACAGGGAUAAAUACAUUUAUAGUCUACUGCAUUGCAGAGGAGUAAAGAGACUGAUCCAGCUUGAAAGAAGUGUGUCCUUUUGUGCCAUCUUUUCCAGUUCCUGUAGGUACUCAUACAGUGCUCAGCCACUGAGUUAGCAGAGAUCUAUCCUUAAGGGCUGAGAGCACACCAUAGAAGUCAGUACUGCACAUAACAUUAUCUUCACCUGUAGGUGAACUGGAAAAAUGGAAGGAGGUGAGGAGAGACCAACCAGGCUAUUGUGGGGUGAGAAUGAGAGGAGGAGCAGUUUUGGAGAGCACAUCUCUAUUUAGCAUCUGCUGUGCUAUCAGGAUUGUUAAUUUGCUGCUGUGAACUUAGACCUGGGCAAUCCAAAGAUCUUGUGAGAAGUCACCAUCACCACAUUACCAAAGCCCUCCUGCUGUCACCUCCAGCUUCUGCUUGGUAACAGGGGGAGCAGGUUGCAGUGAAGACCUGGUAAAGAAUCUUUUGACUCCCCCCCAGCUCCUGGGUUCAGACCCACCUCUGGCCCGGCUGGGCCAAUCUGACACCUCUGUGAUCACUAUUUAGAGAUGGGAAUUUGAAGUGCUGCAGGUGUAAGAGUGAUACAAGAUGGAGGCCACCACGCGGACCCUUCAGCCAGAGGAGGAGGAAGGAAGGAGGAGCACCAGACCAGAGACCCCUUUGCAAGCCGCAGUGAGAAUGCAGCUGUGCCCCUGCAACCCAUGCAGGGCCAUGGCAGGACUGAGAGCCACCAGCAGCUCUGUGUGAGAGCACCCAGACUGGUGAGGGACUGUGUGAGGAGGCGGCCGGGGCGCAGGCCAUACUGGAGAGCCUGUGGGCCCCAGAGCAGCCCCACACGAGAGGCAGAGAGGAGCUGCAGCCUUUGGGAUAAAUGCAUGUCGGAGCAGCCCGUGCAGGGCUGCUGUGUGUGUGAGGUACCCCACGGACUUGCAGGGAGGACUGAUGCGGAACCCACCUGUCCUGAGGAGAGACAAAUGGCAGAAGCUAUCGGGAAUAGACUGAUUGAAACCCCCAUUCCCUGCCCCCCUGGGCCAUUCAGGGCAGGAGGAGGUAAAAACACGGGGAUCAGGGCUCUGAGCCCGGGAAGAGAGGGAGUGGGGAGAAGGUGUUCUUAAAGGGCUGGUUGGACUCUUCAUUGUUGUAUUACUCUGUGUUGUUUUAUUUUGGUUAU